rnacentral:rRNA from 1 species
AUUGAACGCUGGCGGCAGGCCUAACACAUGCAAGUCGAACGAGUGGCGGACGGGAGAGUAAUGUCUGGGAAACUGCCUGAUGGAGGGGGAUAACUACUGGAAACGGUAGCUAAUACCGCAUACCAUCGGAUGUGCCUAGAUGGGAUUAGCUAGUAGGUGGGGUAAAGGCUCACCUAGGCGACGAUCCCUGGCUGGUCUGAGAGGAUGACCAGCGACACUGGAACUGAGACACGGUCCAGACUCCGACGGGAGGCAGCAGUGGGGAAUAUUGGAAAAUGGGCGCAAGCCUGAUGCAGCCAUGCCGCGUGUGUGAAGAAGGCCUUCGGGUUGUAAAGCACUUUCAGCGAGGAGGCGUUACUCGCCGAAGAAGCACCGGCUAACUCCGUGCCAGCAGCCGCGGUAAUUC